rnacentral:rRNA from 1 species
CCAAGGCGAUGACGGGUAGCCGGCCUGAGAGGGCGACCGGCCACACUGGGACUGAGACACGGCCCAGACUCCUACGGGAGGCAGCAGUGGGAAUAUUGCACAAUGGGCGAAAGCCUGAUGCAGCGACGCCGCGUGGGGAUGACGGCCUUCGGGUUGUAAACCUCUUUCAGCAGGGAAGAAGCGAGAGUGACGGUACCUGCAGAAGAAGCGCCGGCUAACUACGUGCCAGCAGCCGCGGUAAUACGUAGGGCGCAAGCGUUGUCCGGAAUUAUUGGGCGUAAAGAGCUUGUAGGUGGCUUGUCGCGUCUGCCGUGAAAACCCGAGGCUCAACCUCGGGCGUGCGGUGGGUACGGGCAGGCUAGAGUGUGGUAGGGGAGACUGGAACUCCUGGUGUAGCGGUGAUAUGCGCAGAUAUCAGGAAGAACACCGAUGGCGAAGGCAGGUCUCUGGGCCAUUACUGACACUGAGAAGCGAAAGCAUGGGGAGCGAACAGGAUUAGAUACCCUGGUAGUCCAUGCCGUAAACGUUGGGCACUAGGUGUGGGGAACAUUCCACGUUUUCCGCGCCGUAGCUAACGCAUUAAGUGCCCCGCCUGGGGAGUACGGCCGCAAGGCUAAAACUCAAAGGAAUUGACGGGGGCCCGCACAAGCGGCGGAGCAUGCGGAUUAAUUCGAUGCAACGCGAAGAACCUUACCAAGGCUUGACAUGCACCGGACGACUCCAGAGAUGGGGUUUUCUUCGGACUGGUGCACAGGUGGUGCAUGGUUGUCGUCAGCUCGUGUCGUGAGAUGUUGGGUUAAGUCCCGCAACGAGCGCAACCCUCGUUCCAUGUUGCCAGCGCGUUAUGGCGGGGACUCAUGGGAGACUGCCGGGGUCAACUCGGAGGAAGGUGGGGACGACGUCAAAUCAUCAUGCCCCUUAUGUCUUGGGCUUCACGCAUGCUACAAUGGUCGGUACAAUGGGUUGCGAAACUGUGAGGUGGAGCGAAUCCCAAAAAGCCGGUCUCAGUUCGGAUUGGGGUCUGCAACUCGACCCCAUGAAGUCGGAGUCGCUAGUAAUCGCAGAUCAGCAACGCUGCGGUGAAUACGUUCCCGGGCCUUGUACACACCGCCCGUCAAGUCACGAAAGUCGGUAACACCCGAAGCCAGUGGCCCAUCCUCGUGAGGGAG